rnacentral:rRNA from 1 species
AUUGGUUUCUCCCUUCUGACGAACCAAGAUGUCAUUAAUUUGGUCGUCCUGGGGAAUCAGGACCGUUACUUUGAAAAAAUUAGAGUGUCUAAAGCAGGCUCGCGCUUGAAUACAUUAGCAUGGAAUAAUGAAAUAGGACGUUUGAUUCUAUUUUGUUGGUUUCUAGGAUCGACGUAAUGAUUAAUAGGGAUAGUUGGGGGCAUUAGUAUUCAAUUGUCAGAGGUGAAAUUCUUGGAUUUAUUGAAGACUAACUACUGCGAAAGCAUUUGCCAAGGAUGUUUUCAUUAAUCAAGAACGAAAGUUAGGGGAUCGAAGACGAUCAGAUACCGUCGUAGUCUUAACCAUAAACUAUGCCGACUAGGGAUCGGAUGAUGUUAAUUUUUUAAUGACUCAUUCGGCGCCUUACG